rnacentral:rRNA from 1 species
AUUGAACGCUGGCGGCAGGCCUAACACAUGCAAGUCGAGCGGAUGAAGGGAGCUUGCUCCUGGAUUCAGCGGCGGACGGGUGAGUAAUGCCUAGGAAUCUGCCUGGUAGUGGGGGAUAACGUCCGGAAACGGGCGCUAAUACCGCAUACGUCCUGAGGGAGAAAGUGGGGGAUCUUCGGACCUCACGCUAUCAGAUGAGCCUAGGUCGGAUUAGCUAGUUGGUGGGGUAAAGGCCUACCAAGGCGACGAUCCGUAACUGGUCUGAGAGGAUGAUCAGUCACACGGGAACUGAGACACGGUCCAGACUCCUACGGGAGGCAGCAGUGGGGAAUUUUGGACAAUGGGCGAAAGCCUGAUCCAGCCAUGCCGCGUGUGUGAAGAAGGUCUUCGGAUUGUAAAGCACUUUAAGUUGGGAGGAAGGGCAGUAAGUUAAUACCUUGCUGUUUUGACGUUACCAACAGAAUAAGCACCGGCUAACUUCGU